GGAGAGUGAUGGCUGCCAUACCGAUUACAGAUAUGCAGUUAUGGGUUGCUUUCGCUGAAGAAGCAUCUGAACAAUUCGAUGGUACAUGUUUUGUAUACUAACUCUGGUAAUGGGUCAAAAUCCUCUGUCUCUUCAGGAUUCUGAUUCCCACUGUCGCAGAUUUGCCACUGAAUUGGAUGAGACCCUCCAAUUCAAAAGGAAAAGUUGGUUAGGCUUGUUUUGUACCAUUUUUGUCUCUAUUUUGGUGACUGUUUUUAAAGGGAGACAUGGAAGGCCUUUGUCUGUCACACCAGUACUUAACAGAGGUACCAACAAAGGGAAGGUGCUGUGGAUGGAGGAUGCAUUGAAGGGCCUGGAGACACUCGUGGAGUGGCUUAGACCCCUUGCUCAGACUAAGGCUUGGGAAUACUGUGUUGUUUGGAAAUUAGGAGACGAUCCCUCAAGGUUCAUCGAAUGGAUAGGUUGCUGUUGUAGUGGUGGAGUUGAUAGGGAUAAGAAUAUGAAAGAAGAACCAGGUGAGGAGCACCACUCGAGCCCCCUAUGCAGGGAUGUCCAUUUUGAGCACCCCAUGAGGACAAAGGCCUGUCAGGCUCUUGCUCAGCUUCCUUCUUCUAUGCCACUGUAUUCUGGGUUUCAUGGGGAGGUUGUGAUAUCAAACCAACCGAGGUGGAUUUUUUCCGAUGCUAAUUCCUCAAAUUCAGCUACUUCAAAUGACUCAUUUGGAACCCAAGUUCUGAUCCCAGUUGUUGGUGGGCUUGUUGAGCUCUUUGCUACAGAACAUAUACCGAAAGAUCAGAAGUUCAUAGAGUUAAUUACAGCUCAGUGUAACAUCUCUUUUGAACAAGAAGCCAUAGGUGCCUGGAGCUAUGCCAAUCCGAACCUCAGUGACAAUCAUCUUGAUCCCGAGCGUGAAGAUUACUUAACAAAUUGGUCACUUCCCCUGCACUUGCCAAGGUUGAAUCCCAGUAUACAGGCUCUUUUACCAGUGAUCCAUUCCAGCUCCUAUCCAUGUGUAGAUAGAUCAUCCAGUGGUUCCAAUCCUUCACAUCGAUACCCAUCACUAGAUUUAGAUUCUUGCCAGUUAUCUCUGCAUGGUACUAUAAAUAAGUCAAUUGGUAAAUCUUCUGACUCUAAAAAGGUCAAGUACAGUCAGUGUUCAUUGAAGCGACGGACAGGAACGAUUGCAAAUGGGAGAAAUAUGGUAGAAAACGAUGAAACAAAAGUUAUACAGAAGAAAGAAAGAGAACAAUACCAUUCAAAAAAUUUGGUCACUGAGAGAAAUAGAAGAAACAGGAUAAAAGACGGGCUCUUCACUCUACGCUCGUUAGUCCCAAAGAUAUCCAAGAUGGAUAGAACUGCUAUUCUUGGAGACGCAAUUGGGUAUAUACAAGAGUUGGAGGAGGAAGUGAAGCAACUUCGGGAUGAGCUCAUGGAAAAUGAAGAGGACCGCAGGAAGAAUGAAUCGGAGUUGAAGAUCUCAACGUCAGACCAAAUACAAGGCAACGCUACCACACCUUUGCCACCUACUCAGCGGAACCAGGGCUUGUCCAGCUCUGGAGAAAAGAAGAAAACAGAGGUGCAAGUUGAAGUGAACCAGAUAAGCCAAAGAGACUUCUUGAUUAAAUUCUUCUGCGAGCAUAAGCGAGGUGGGUUUACAAGGUUGAUGGAAUCUUUACAUUUGCUAGGGCUUCAAGUAGCUGAUGCCAAUAUCACCACAUUCUAUGGCAACGUCCUGAAUGUUCUCAAGGUUGAGGCAAAGAAGGACAUUCAACUGAAGAAGCUGAAGAGCUCUUUGAUGGAGCUGACAAGCUAGAGACUAUAAAAUCAGACAGCGAUUAGCAAGUCUUCACAAAAUGCUAUUUUACGGCGAAAACAUAUCGAUGGAGAAACUUUGACGGAAUAAGUCAAUUCACACAAACCUUAAGCUUUUACAGCAACAUUAUGUUGCCGCUAAACACGAUUUCUGAUAUUGAACUAUUUGCAGUGAUACAUACACUAUUUUUUCUCCCUUUUCCUGUAUUUUUUCUCCCCUAGCUCGAUACAUACACUCUCUGUCUUCUCUGUGAGUUUUUUGUUGCUCCUUUCCAUGCUGUCCGACCACCUGAUGAUAGGGUUGUGCAUAUGACCCGUAAACCUUAUGGGCCCGAUUAAAAUGGCCCAAUCCAAAUUUAUUGGGUUAUUAUCUGGUCAAGUCUCCAACCUAACUAGUAAAUAGGUUUGUAUUUUGGUUUCCACCCGUCCAUGUAUAAACAAUACUAAUCUUCAGUUCUUCAACCCUAGCCUCCCAAAAUCUAAAACCAGUCUCCGAUGGCGUCAUGAGAAAAGAUACUCUCCUACUUGUACGUGAUGAUCUAGAUCGCCCUCAACUUCCCAGUCAUCGUCUACAACAAGUAAAUCUUAGAUCGCAAGCUCUACAAUUGGUCCUCCUUGAUCUCACUCACCAUUAUUCACAUGACCUUCUACUGCUCCAUCGCCUACCUCCUUGUCAGUGUCUUCAAGGUCGUGGAGGAGCCCGCCUCCAUCACCCGAGAUCUCUACAUUAGAUGCUCAAGGCCCUCAUGCCCGUCUCCGUCUACUCCAUUAGCCUUGCCUUCAAAAAGGACACUUUCAAGUCUAACCACAACAGUAGAAAGGUUGUCAUUUGUGAGAAUUGCUCGAUGUCGAUUGAGACAACAGGGUGGGAUGGAGAGAACAAGAAGGUGAUGUUGGAGAGGCAUGAGAAGUCAAGGAACUGCAACCCCAAGAAUAAUAAACUGAAGUGCCCCAUAAGGCGUUGCAUAGAGAUAUUGACGUUUUCAAAUACACCUGCGUGGGUUUUUUCUCCGUAUUUGAAUAGAAUUUGUUGUGGUUUUGUUGUUUGGCUCAUGAGAAA